rnacentral:rRNA from 1 species
CUCCGGUUGAUCCUGCCGGACCCGACUGCUAUCAGAGUGGGACUAAGCCAUGCGAGUCAACGUAGCAAUACGUGGCAUACGGCUCAGUAACACGUAGUCAACAUGCCCAGGGGACGAGGAUAACCUCGGGAAACUGAGGAUAAACCUCGAUAGGCCAUGAUUUCUGGAAUGAUUCUUGGCUCAAACCUAUAUGGCCCCUGGAUUGGACUGCGGCCGAUCAGGCUGUUGGUGAGGUAAUGGCCCACCAAACCUAUUACCGGUACGGGCUCUGAGAGGAGGAGCCCGGAGAUGGGCACUGAGACAAGGGCCCAGGCCCUAUGGGGCGCAGCAGGCGCGAAACCUCUGCAAUAGGCGAAAGCUUGACAGGGUUACUCUGAGUGAUUUCCGCUAAGGGAAUCUUUUGGCACCUCUAAAAAUGGUGCAGAAUAAGGGGUGGGCAAGUCUGGUGUCAGCCGCCGCGGUAAUACCAGCACCCCGAGUGGUCGGGACGAUUAUUGGGCCUAAAGCAUCCGUAGCCGGUCCUGCAAGUCUUCCGUUAAAUCCAGCUGCUCAACAGAUGGGCUGCGGGAGAUACUACAGGGCUAGGAGGCGGGAGAGGCAAGCGGUACUUUAUGGGUAGGGGUAAAAUCCGCUGAUCCAUAGAAGACCACCAGUGGCGAAGGCGGCUUGCCAGAACGCGCUCGACGGUGAGGGAUGAAAGCUGGGGGAGCAAACCGGAUUAGAUACCCGGGUAGUCCCAGCUGUAAACGAUGCAGACUCGGUGAUGGGUUGGCCUCGCGCCUGCCCAGUGCCGCAGGGAAGCCGUUAAGUCUGCCGCCUGGGGCGUACGGUCGCAAGACUGAAACUUAAAGGGAAUUGGCGGGGGAGCA